rnacentral:snRNA from 1 species
CAGGCUUGCCGCCCUUGCUAG